GCGAUGAUUAAGGUGUAGCAGUAUAUCUAAGUUGGAGCGGCGCACGGGUGCGUAACACGUGGGUAAUCUGCCAUGAAGUAAGGGAUAAUCCCGCGAAAGCGGGACUAAUACCGGAUGUGAAACCUGGGGGGCAUCUCCUGGGUUUCAAAGCUGGGGAUCGUAAGACCUGGCGCUUCAUGAUGAGCCCGCGGCCUAUCAGCUAGUUGGUGAGGUAACGGCUCACCAAGGCUAAGACGGGUAGCUGGUCUGAGAGGACGACCAGCCACACUGGAACUGAGACACGGUCCAGACACCUACGGGUGGCAGCAGUCGAGAAUUUUUCACAAUGGGCGCAAGCCUGAUGGAGCGACACCACGUGGGGGAUGAAUGGCUUCGGCCCGUAAACCCCUGUCAUUUGCGAUCAAACCCUGGUAUUUAAAAGAUGCCAGGCUGAUAGUAGCGGAAGAGGAAGGGACGGCUAACUCUGUGCCAGCAGCCGCGGUAAUACAGAGGUCCCGAGCGUUGUUCGGAUUCACUGGGCGUAAAGGGUGCGUAGGUGGUGAGGCAAGUCGGAUGUGAAAUCUCGGAGCUUAACUCCGAAACGGCAUUGGAAACUGCCUUGCUAGAGGUUUGGAGGGGGGACUGGAAUGCUUGGUGUAGCAGUGAAAUGCGUAGAUAUCAAGCGGAACACCAGUGGCGAAGGUGAGUCCCUAGACAACACCUGACACUGAGGCACGAAAGCUAGGGGAGCAAACAGGAUUAGAUACCCUGGUAGUCCUAGCCGUAAACGGUGCACGUUUGCUGUAAAAGGAAUCGACCCCUUUUGUGGCGUAGCCAACGCGUUAAACGUGCCGCCUGGGAAGUA
rnacentral:rRNA from 1 species